rnacentral:RNase_P_RNA from 1 species
AGAGCAGGCCAUGCGGCCGCCCCGCGGCUUCAAUGAUGAGACGCCAUCGGGGAGGAAAGUCCGAGCUCCAUAUGGGCAGGACGGCUGCUAACGGCAGCCGGGGGCAACCCCAGGGACAGUGCAACAGAAAUUACACCGCCGAAGUCUUUCGGUAAGGGUGAAAUGGUGAGGUAAGAGCUCACCGCCUCCUGCGGCAACACAAGAGGCAGGUAAACCCCGUCCGGAGAAAGGUUGAAUAGGGCUCGCUUGUCGGGUUGCCCGCCCGAUGCCUUGCGUUCACACAGCAAGGAGGCGAGACGGGUUCCAACCGCAAAAGGCAGCGGGCAACCUCUGCCUCAGAUGAAUGGCCGCGCAACACAGAACUCGGCUUACGGCCUGCUCUUAUU